GGAAGUGGGGGAUAACGUAGCGAAAGUUACGCUAAUACCGCAUAUUCUGUGAGCAGGAAAGAGGGGGAUCUUCGGACCUCUUGCUUUCGGAGCGGCCGAUGUCAGAUUAGCUAGUUGGUGAGGUAAAGGCUCACCAAGGCGACGAUCUGUAGUGGGUCUGAGAGGAUGAUCCGCCACACUGGAACUGAGACACGGUCCAGACUCCUACGGGAGGCAGCAGUGGGGAAUUUUGGACAAUGGGCGCAAGCCUGAUCCAGCCAUGCCGCGUGAGUGAAGAAGGCCUUCGGGUUGUAAAGCUCUUUCGGCCGGGAAGAAAUCGCAUGGAUUAAUACUCUGUGCGGAUGACGGUACCGGCAUAAGAAGCACCGGCUAACUACGUGCCAGCAGCCGCGGUAAUA
rnacentral:rRNA from 1 species